GUCACCAAAACUGCUUGAUUACCAAAAUAUUCUUCAAAAUGCCUUUCAACAGAAGAAAAUAUACAAGUUUGGAACAACGUGAAAAUGUGUAAAUAAUGACACACUUUUUAUUUUUGGGUGAACUGUACGUGUAAAGUGUACCAGUUGCUGUUGGUAGCCUGUAUUUGCUGGACCGACUUUCAAAAUACACCGUGUGUGAAAGUUUGAGGCUAUCAUUCUGAAUAAGACAAACAGAAAAACUAAGCAUCCUCCACUUAAGGCCUCUGGCUCGAUGCGUUGGAAGGGGAUGUUUUUUUUCUUUCGGGGUUUCGUUUGUGUCCUCCUCCGCCUUUUUUGCAGUUAUAAAAGCGAGGAGUUUCUAAUCAGGGCAGUUAAACUCACUUCGUCCGUCACUCAGUAUGGACUCAAAGGAUGCUCGAGAGAGUUUAGAGAGCGGCGGCGGCGGCGCGCGCUGUCGCUGUAGCAACGGGAGGAGGAACGUGGCAGCGGUGUUGGCCAUCCACAGUUUAUUAAUAGCCGUUUGUGCUGCCCUCAGCCUCAACAUCUAUCUCAGAGCGCAGCCUGGAUCCAGUAAACAGCAUCAGUUUUCACAGGACAAAGGGAUAUUCAUGCAAAUGAUAGAUGUUGAUUUAGAUGAGCUCAAAUUCCUGGUCACCUGGAACCAGACAGUGGAUCUGAUCAAUGAGAAGAGGCUGAAGCUGACCUGUGCAGGACCCUACAUGGUCUAUCUGUGGGCUUGUAUGAAAAACACCAACAAUGAUGUGGUUGUCAACGUGACAAUGGAACAGGGGACUAAAUCGUUCCACCUGCAGACCCUGCGGGACACCGAGUGCAAGGAAAUACAGGAAGUGAUCAUGCUGUCUGAAAAAGACGAAGUCACGGUGAAAGCCAAAGGCGCCAUCCACAUUGAUAAACUCUUCUUAGGCCUCCACUGCAUGCUGGGAGCCCAGUGCUUUCCUCAUCCAAUUGAUUAUGAACACUUGAAGUAGCUUGGAUAUAAAAAAUUUUAGGUGCUCGUCCUUCAGAAGAGCCGUUUAAGUGAUAAAACUAUGGCAUGACCCUCAGUCUUGAAUUACCACGAAGAAAUCUCUCGUUUUCACCCAGUUUGAAAUAUUACGACGAUGCCAUUGUCAAACUUGCCCUGGAUCAAAAGUGUAAUCGUGAAGCUAAAAUUUAGAGAGCUGCGAAUACGUUUUUCCAUAGAGGAAGCGUCUCUGUUAUUUUUCCACACUAUAUUAAAGCUUCCUGGCUCUUCAAGACAGACUAUUUGUGAAACACCUACAGCAAGUGGAAGUGGGCGACGACGUGAUAUUAACCGUAAAGGCACUAUGUCAGCUCAAACAGAGCGUACCUCACCACAGUCUGGAUUAGUGGCGGUUCCAUAAGCUCUUUGAAUGUAUCGAUACUCUGUGGUUGGAAAGAGAAAGGAAGGCCUUUAACUGAAGUGAAACCAGCUGCAGAUCAUUUUGAAGCUAUACUUCUGAUCAGUGUACAUACUACUGUAGUUUGAGAAGGAGUAAUUAGAACGUCCUCAGAUAUUGUCCUGAUUCAGCUUUCAAAUACUGACAAAGCAAUAAUGUUCUCACUGUUUGUCAUUAUCAUUAUAUUUAUAUAAAACCUGGAAGAAAAGCCCCAAAUAUGAAAGGAAAUAUCAAAGGGUAACAUUUAUGUUGCAGUUUCCGCUUUGGAAAAGACAUUGAAAAUUUGUUUGGGUAGUAGUUGUGUUUGAAAUACAGAAUUGAAUGUUGUUUUUGUGAUGUUUAAUUAUGUAAAACAGUUUAAUUAUAUAAACUGUAUGUGAUUGAAUGUUUGAUGCUUUAUUUAAAUCAGAGUCAUUGGAUAAUGUAAGGAUUGAAUUCACACUGUAGUGCACUUUUCCUUUAAGAGCACAUGUCGGUAAAUGUAUUUAUUGAAAUGAAAGUUUUUUUUAUUAUUAUUAUUUAAUCAAACCACUUUUAUAGUGAUGGUGAGCUAAAGCACUAAAAACCUCAAAAGCAAAACCAAACAAUCAUCCACAUCUCAUUCAUUCACUCAUCUCAUGACCAAAUUCAUUUAAAUUCAGUCUUAAUGACAUUUUCCACAGUUUUUAGUUUGUUUUAUUGUCUGUGCAAUGUGUUUGUGUUCAUAAAACAUGAUCCACAAUGUCUAACUUGCUCAGUCAAACCCCUGCUGCAAUUUCUGUAGUGAUCCUUUAUUUAUACAGCAAGGUUUGCACUCCUAUCUAUAUAUAUAUAUCUAUAUAUAUAUAUCUAUAUAUAUAUAUAUAUAUAUAUAUAUAUAUAUAUAUAUAUAUAAUUAUACACCAUCAAUAAAAAUGCGAUAUGCUGAAA